ensembl:lncRNA
GAAGACUGAAGCGAGAAGGACUGCGUGAGGUGGGCGACCACCGGAGCGAGGCGGGCGGCGUGUCGGGGGGCGUGAAGACAACCCCAGUCUCCCUCUGUCGCCCAGGCUGGAGGGCGUGAUGUCCGCUCACUGCAACCUCCACCUUCCGGGUUCAAACAGUUCUCCUGCCUCAGCCUCCUGAGUAGCUGGGAUUCCAGGAGGGCAGCCCGGAUUUGGUGGAAAGUAUUCUCAUCAGCAUGCACCUGGACACGAGGACCUAACAGAUAAAGAUGUGCCACAGGGUUUGCAGAUUGCUUGACCAUCUGUUUGCUGGUUCAGGAUUGUUGAAAUCUGCACUGUUUGCGUGUUUUAUGAGGCUUCUCCAGUCACAUGGUAGCAGAUGCACAGCUGACUGCCUCCUUUGGAAAGGCUGAUCAGAAACUCACAAGAAUGCAACUGCUCAUCUCUCACCUAUGUGUGACCUGGAGGCCCCCUUCCCUUUGAGUCUUCCUGCUCUUGCUUCAAGUUGUCCUGCCUUUCCAGACUGAACCAAUGUUCUUCUUACAUAUAUUGAUUGAUGUCUCAUGUCUCCCUAAAAUGUAUAAAACGAAGCUGUGCCCCGACCACCUUGGGUGCAUGUUAUCAGGACCUCCUGGGGGCAGUGUCACUGGUGCAUCCUCAACCUUGGAAAAAUAAACUUUCUAAAUUGAGACCUGUCUCAGAUUUUUGGGUUCACGAGGUACAUAAAUAACAAGGGCAAGAAUGUGGAAAAAUUGAAACCCUCAUACAUUGCUGGUGAGAAUGUAAAAUGGUGUAGCCACUUUGGAAAACAAUUUGGCAAUAUUUAACAAUGUUAAACAGUUACCACAUGAAAACUGAAGUCCACACAAAACCUUGUACAUGAAUGUUCAUAGCAGCAUCACUCAUAAUAGUCAAAAAAUGCAAACAACCCAAAUGUCAACUGAUGGAUAAAAUGUAGUAUAUCCAUAUAAUGGAAUAGUUUUUGUUUUAUUUAAUGAAAUAUUCAUCAGCAAUAAAAAAGAACUAGCUGCUGCUGUCUGCUAUAAUGUGGACCUUGAGAACAUUGUUAAAUGAAAGCAGUCACAAAUGACUCCAUGUUUUGUGUUUCCAUCCAUACGAAACGUCUAGAACAGAUAAAUCUAUAGAGGCAGAAAACAGAUUGGUGGCUGCGAGGGGCUGAGGGAAUGGAAGUGGGAAAUGACUGUUUAUGGGUAUAGGGUUUCUUUUCGGGAUGAUAACAUUCUCCUAAAAUUAGAUUGUGGUAUUGGUUCCACAACACUGAAAAACCACCUCACCUUAAAUUGGUGAAUUUUAUAGUACAUGGAUUAGAUCUCAACAAAAACUUUUAUUGAAGAAAAGAUUUAUCUGGAGAUGGAGAGUGAUGAUGGUUGCAUAGUAUGAAUAUACUUAAUGUCCUUAAAAAUUAAGGUGAUAAAUCUUGUUAUAAAUAACAAUUAAAAAUGAGUUUCAAUAAAUUAUUUGGGAACAUUUGCAUCUUAUGCCUUAGCUUGGAACAACUUUCCUGUGAAUAAAAUGCUUGUGAUGUG